AGUACUCGUAUCCGGGUUCGUCAUACAGCACGAAGUACAUGAUGAGACAGAUGAUUGUGAGGACCGUCAGCAGGAUACCGCCAAACAUGCCCCGAUGUGCCCGGGAACAGUCGACGGAGAAAUGGAUGACGGCACAGAUGAGCGAGUACUCGAUCGUGCAGGGAAAGAGAAAUGGGGAUACGUUCUGGACGAGCGAUCCCAUUAUGUUGGUGCGUUGACAGUCGACGUACUCUGCUGCAGGUUCGGUGGCACGCCGGACCAGUGUGUGAUUGAGGGCGGCAUCUAGCAGCUCUUCCGAAGAGUCUGAAGUUGUGGUCGUGGUGGAGACAGUGCUGGUUGGCGUUGAUGCGGCCGUAACUAGCGCUGUGUAGGUGUCCAGUGCAUCACCUAGAAGGUAACAGUUGCUGGAAUCCACUCGAUCAUCGUUUAGCCGACAGCAAAUCAGUGACCGAUAUGCAUCCAGUCGAAUCGAAGGUGUCAGAUAUCGCCAAUCGCUACUUCGCCAAUCGCUUCAACCUACAAGUAAUCAAACUAAUCUUUACUGCCUACUCAACAACCGGAAUCAAAGCAGCUGGUGCCGCGAAGCUUCAAAUUCUCCUCGAACUGAUCUCCCCAACAAUGCUACCCAGUAAUGUAUCAAAAGGCUUACCAAACUAUGAAAUCAACUAAAUGAAACCACUUAAAUUAUUGUAAACCAAUUCACCCAUCUACGGUGGAUGGGGCCAUCUUGAAAAGGGGAAGCGAGACAUUGGACGGACCAUUUUAUCCAGCUUCCGUCCCACCGAGGAGCACGUCCGUUCGAUACCACACAAAAGGGUAAAGUUACACACAACAGUACACACCGAACCGGACACCUGUUGCCUGUCAAUUGGGUGUCAUUUCAAUGCCGUGCGGUUUUUAGCUUGGGCGAGAAAACUUUUCCACAAGGUACAUUACAUUUGCCAGCUCGGUGGGAUCGAGCAGGAACGUAACUUCAACUUCGUGAUGUAAACCGGGUGAAGGAGAUAAGGGAAAAAAGGAUUAGAAACCUUAGUCCAGGAUGACAAAAGUUACGGUUUUUGACAGUUGGCUUAGUCAGUCCUGGAUGUAUGGAUGUGAGUGGGAGGAAGACUCUUAUUCACUAAGUAACCCAUUUAGAAAUUAAUGCUACAAUUGUGGCAUUCAAUAUCUCAAUCGGAGAGAAGCGUAAUGCCGGUUUAAGCCUCAUAACCUCAAAAAACCACCCGGAUGAUGCUCC